GGCCAAACCAAAGAAAAGCAGCAUUGUGAAGUGCGUGGUUUCCAAAUUGAGCUCUGUGGUGUCCUGUCAGAGACCUGGGGAUGGAGGUGCACUGGACGUGAACCAUGCUUCUUCCAGCCAAAAUAUCAAAAAAUUCACAGAAAAAUCUGAGUGUUCAGUUUUUCUUGAAAAGGAUUAAGCCAAGGCACUGAGCAGGGCUGAGCCUGCAAACUGAAGUCCCUCAGUUCUACGCCUGAGCAAGGGAUGUCUCGGAAGUGGUUCAUGGCUGGCAUGAUGCUCCAUGUUGUCAGGAACUCAGACUCCAUUCAUCUUGGUAUUCUUUCCUGAAGGCUUCAACCUCACAGUCUCAACAUGGCAGCAUCACAUUCCAGAGGAGCAGAACAGGGAAAGCGUCAGAAGACAAGAGAGGAGAGGAACACACCUCGCUCUCUCCUGCUAUUUUCUGUGCCUGGCUGCAAGCUAGAAAUGCCGUGUCCGUUGCAAAUGGCCACACAUCUGAGGCCCUACCACCAUGGGAACAGCCACUGGGAGAUAACUAGCAGGUUUUACCAUUUGUCAUUUAAUUAUUUUAAAGUUAGAAACUUUUUCUUUUUGAAUGUCUGAAAGAGAAUGGCCUGAGAAAUAUUUUGGAAAAGCUAAAUAAAGCUGCUUUGUGACUGUU